GGGGUUGACUGGAUUUGACGGCGAGAUGAGAUGGUACGUAAGCACGCGGAGGCUCGAGGGUUCCCUCCUUAAUCUGAGUUCUCAAAUAAUUAAUUGGCAACAAUGAGUAUGCUCUCGCUGCCUAAUCGAAGUACAGUAGAUUAAGGCUCAAUUUCGCUACCAGGUAGCGAAACGAGACGUCGCUCCGAGGAUGUUGUUCCGAAUCCAAAGAUCAAGCGGCGCAGGCUAAAUCGGAAAUAGCCUCUGUAGGCUCCGAUGCAGGGGUGAAAUUUAGGAGCUAAGGCUGUAGUUGGUGGCUUAGGUCUUGCUGCAGCACGAAAACCGAAGUCUAAGAUAAGCGUGUAGAAAGCGUAUGGUUUCCUUGUUCGGACGAGGGUUCGACUCCCUCCAGCUCCACUU
rnacentral:tmRNA from 1 species